rnacentral:lncRNA from 1 species
UCAGACUCAAGUCAAAUUUAUGGAUUAGACCCCCAAAGUAUUAGCGUGACUCUAGCGCCAAAACAAUGGUAAGAAUAAAGAAUAAUUUAGGAAAACACUAGCAUUUAAAGGGAUAUUUAUAACUACAAUUUGAUAUUCGAAACCAGACUUGUAAUUGGAUGGAUAUUACAAUUAUAAACGUCAAAGAAGAUUAAGUAGCAUGUAAUUAAGUUUUCCCAAAUUUGAAGAAACAUUGGUUGUACCAUAGCUUGGUUGAAAUAUAUUACAUGUUGGUAACUUGGUGCGAAGAGAAUGCUUUCUCUACCUUCAGAGUAAGGAAUAAAAAU